CCCGCGGUAAUCCCAUAAUGGCAGCUGGGGGGUUGCGUUCCGAGGCUCCCGAUGGACUUUUGUCGUGAGGAAGACGACAAGCGCUGUACACGGCCCAGGACGUGGGUGUGAUGCCCCUCGCUGGCUUCACCCCUUCCCUUUGGGCUGCUGGGCAGGGAGAGGAGCGAGCCUGCACCCAGUAACCACGUGGAUAUUUAUGCAGACACCGCCGGCCUUCUGCAUGAUUUGGAGAAUCUACAAUACAGGAAAAUCGCGGUGCCUGAGGUUGGAGAAGUUCCUUUCGUCCUCCAUGUGGAAGCCAUCAUGGGCUGUCAGACGGAGGCCACCCCUGUGUGCACUGUCCCUUCCCCACUACCCUGGAAAGAAUCGAACUCCAGCCGUUG